rnacentral:rRNA from 1 species
UACGUAGGGGGCGAGCGUUGUCCGGAUUUAUUGGGCGUAAAGAGCGCGUAGGCGGCCAGGUAGGUCCGACGUGAAAUCUCGAGGCUCAACCUCGAGCGGUCGUUGGAUACCGCCUGGCUAGAGUCCGGAAGAGGAGAGUGGAAUUCCUGGUGUAGCGGUGAAAUGCGCAGAUAUCAGGAAGAACACCCGUGGCGAAGGCGGCUCUCUGGGACGGUACUGACGCUGAGACGCGAAAGCGUGGGGAGCGAACAGG